UUCGCUCUCUCUUUUCCUCUCUCCCACGGUCUCCUAUGUCGGUAUAGGUCUGGCACAGCAUGGCACGGCACGGUGCUGGCCCGUACCGACUCGUGCCGCCGGAUAACUGGUACGUGCUCGGUACCAGCACAGCAGAUCCUGGAACCAAGUUUUAUGUUGUUCUGUAGGUUAAUGUGCUUCUGUUGGUUUAAUGUCUUUUAAUUGCAUGGGUUUGUGAACUAACAGGAGAUGGCUAUUUCAUCCAUAAACUAUUAAUUUUCUGAUUUUUCUCUUGACAUGAUUAUCU
rnacentral:lncRNA from 1 species